rnacentral:rRNA from 1 species
AGAGUUUGAUCAUGGCUCAGGACGAACGCUGGCGGCGUGCUUAACACAUGCAAGUCGAACGGAAAGGCCCUUCGGGGUACUCGAGUGGCGAACGGGUGAGUAACACGUGGGUGAUCUGCCCUGCACUUUGGGAUAAGCCUGGGAAACUGGGUCUAAUACCGAAUAUGACCACGCUCUUCAUGGGGUGUGGUGGAAAGCUUUUGCGGUGUGGGAUGGGCCCGCGGCCUAUCAGCUUGUUGGUGGGGUAAUGGCCUACCAAGGCGACGACGGGUAGCCGGCCUGAGAGGGUGACCGGCCACACUGGGACUGAGAUACGGCCCAGACUCCUACGGGAGGCAGCAGUGAGGAAUAUUGCACAAUGGGCGCAAGCCUGAUGCAGCGACGCCGCGUGAGGGAUGACGGCCUUCGGGUUGUAAACCUCUUUCACCAGGGACGAAGCGCAAGUGACGGUACCUGGAGAAGAAGCACCGGCCAACUACGUGCCAGCAGCCGCGGUAAUACGUAGGGUGCGAGCGUUGUCCGGAAUUACUGGGCGUAAAGAGCUCGUAGGUGGUUUGUCGCGUUGUUCGUGAAAACUCACAGCUUAACUGUGGGCGUGCGGGCGAUACGGGCAGACUAGAGUACUGCAGGGGAGACUGGAAUUCCUGGUGUAGCGGUGGAAUGCGCAGAUAUCAGGAGGAACACCGGUGGCGAAGGCGGGUCUCUGGGCAGUAACUGACGCUGAGGAGCGAAAGCGUGGGGAGCGAACAGGAUUAGAUACCCUGGUAGUCCAA